GCUACCCCUUGUAUCUCGCCAAUACCCUAGGUCCUGUGGCCAGGGUUUUCCACGUUCUUCCCUCCCUUUCUUUCUUGUCUGCCGCCGCUGUUUCGGAGACUGCCGAGGUCGAGUUCGACACUUCGAUCGAGUUUGCCGCUUGUCGAAGGUGAAGGAAUCGGAGGCGAAGGAGGCGGUGAGGCAUCGAUCGGAGGUGCUCCCCAAUGCCACUACCUACGCCGCUGUCAAAUCCCUCUUUCAGGUUCGCUCCCUCCUCUCCCUUCUCGGUGACAACGGCCUUCCCCUCUCCACCCAUUCCGCCGUCAUGCUCGCCGUCCGCUGCCCCUUCUCCUGCUCCAACGACCAGCAUAUCCCCUGCUCCUAGUCCAAUGGCACCGGCAGAAGCUGUGGCCUGUAAAUCCUACCGUGUAGCAGUGACCGGUGACCCAGUGCCCAGUGGACUGCGCCACCGUGGUCCACUACGCCCAUGUGGUGGCGACCGGGAGCUCGGUGGAGGGGAUCGCGGCAGAGUUUGGAACACAGCGCCGGAGCCGGAGGCAGCCAAGAGAGCUCCGAUCAGGUGGAGCCAGAGGCGGCAAGUGCGCGGUCGGGCGGAGAUGCGGCGAGGGCGGAGGCCACGGAGCAGAUCGGGUCAGAUAAUCUGUUUAUUAAAUAGGUCGAGUUUGAAUUUUAAAGACUGAUCUGUUAAAUAAACAGAUCGAGUCAAAAAUUUUUUGGACUCGACCCAUAUCUAAUUCGAUCCAUUUAUAUCUGACCCGAUCCGAUUGCUACCCCUAAAGAGGACCGCAAGGAGGAGGACACCAGGAUGCGGUCACCAGAAUGAAGACCUCAUUGGGAACACAACUCCAUGAGCAGAGCGAGGAGGUGUUCAUCGGCCAAUCGAUGAUUCCUGGAUUGAAUCUGUCGGGGAAGGAGAGCAGUGCCGGUGUGGUUGAGGUAGUGGUUGAGUUGGAUUCUGUGACCCAGAUGCUCCAAAUCUAAGCGAUGGAUGUAUCGUUUCAAAUCGUUUUAAGAAGCUAAAAGAUUAUAGUUGCUGCUCUGGCAUAAAGAUGACCUGCUAGAUAAGAAAAGGAGGUUUGUCAAAUGACACUCUCUUUUUUCAUUGCAUAAAGUUUCAUCCUUUUUCCUUUAAUUGCUAAAAUUUUUUUUGCUUUAUCUAUUACAUUAGCAGAGUUUUUUGUGGCUACGCUGACGUUAUGGUUAUCCUUUGGAUAGAAUAUGAUCUCUAAAUUAAACUGAGAUGAAAACUUUGCAAUCAUUAGUAUAUUUCCCAAAAGAAUGGGUGAAAAGAAAUGGAAAACAUGAAACAGCAAUUGUUGGUUGUUUCAUUUGCCCAUCCAAACUUCUUAAAAGGAUAUACCCCUCAUAAUAAUUUUGCAUGACUCUAUAAUAGUGCCAUAGUAGAAUGAUACUUGUCUACAUCAUGUUUAUUUUAGUCAACUAAUAUAAUUUUUUUGUGUGACGAUGGAUUUUGCAUCAUAUUUUGGUUUAUUUUUGAAUUUCUGAUAAAGUUCAGUAUACAAAUGCAUUGCUAUCUUGAGUUUGUUGAUAAGGGGACAUCAUAUGGUAAUGUAUUUUUGUUGUGACCACUUAUACAUUAGCACAAGAGGUACACACACAAACGUGGCUGUCAAGCAUUUCUUACCAUAUGAGAAAUGAAAACAAUGUUUUGUGAUAUGUUUGCCUCUAACCCAAUCUAAAAUUUUAUCAUCUAGCCAGUUUAUUCUUGUCAAUUUCUCCAAUUUUAGCUCAAGCUCUUUUGACUCAUUUGGUUCGUGGGAAGAGGAGAGGGGAAGUGUGGCUAAUAGGAAAAUGGUGAAAGGCCUCAUAUUUGGUUGGAGUUUUCAAAGGAGAGAUGGGACAGUGGCAUUCUCAUAAGAAAAAAAUGGUCACAUUUCAUGAAAAAGAAAAAUUCAUGUGGGAUAUGGAAAAGUCCAAUUUCCAUUGACUGGGAAUUGGGGUGAUUUUUUUUUCAAUUAUUCUCUUAAGCUUUUAGAAAGAAUUGGGUAAGGUCUUUAUUAAGGGUAUAAUAGGUAUUUUACACAACUUUUCUAAUAAAAUAGAUGCUCAACCAAAUAUAAGCCACUUUAGAAUAUACCACUUUUUCAUGGUCAACCAAACAUACAAAAAUCAUUUUCUCAUGCAUCAUAUACCGGGGCAUCAGCUUCCCAAAAAAAAUAUUCUAGUGAGGGAAAAUUCUUUCUGCACCAAACAAGUCCUUUAUGAUGGAGCUCUUUGAUAUUAAAUGAUGCCAUAUUGCAUCUAUUUCAUGAAUCAGAUAUCACUUAAUGCAUAGGGUAUACCAUG